rnacentral:rRNA from 1 species
UACAGAGGAGCCAAGCGUUGUCCGGAUUGACUGGGCGUAAAGCGCACGCAGGCGGGUGCGCGCGUGGGGUGUGAAACCGGGUGGCUUAACUGCCCGUCGCCAUCCCAUACGGCGCGCCUGGAGCCAUCCAGAGGUCGGUGGAAUUGCCGGUGUAGUGGUGAAAUGCGUAGAUAUCAGGAGGAACACCUGUGGUGUAGACGGCUUUCUGGACCGUAGCUGACGCUGAGACACGAAAGCGUGGGUAGCAAACAGG